UACGUAGGUGGCAAGCGUUGUCCGGAAUUAUUGGGCGUAAAGCGCGCGCAGGCGGUCCUUUAAGUCUGAUGUGAAAGCCCACGGCUCAACCGUGGAGGGUCAUUGGAAACUGGGGGACUUGAGUACAGAAGAGAAGAGUGGAAUUCCACGUGUAGCGGUGAAAUGCGUAGAGAUGUGGAGGAACACCAGCGGCGAAGGCGACUCUUUGGUCUGUAACUGACGCUGAGGCGCGAAAGCGUGGGGAGCAAACAGG
rnacentral:rRNA from 1 species